rnacentral:rRNA from 1 species
UACGGGGGGGGUAAGCGUUGUUCGGAAUUACUGGGCGUAAAGGGCUCGUAGGCGGCCAACUAAGUCGGACGUGAAAUCCCUCAGCUUAACUGGGGAACUGCGUCCGAUACUGGAUGGCUUGGAUUUGGGAGAGGGGAUGCGGAAUUCCAGGUGUAGCGGUGAAAUGCGUAGAUAUCUGGAGGAACACCGGUGGCGAAGGCGGCAUCCUGGACCAAUAUUGACGCUGGGGAGC